CCGCGUCUGCCGGAAGCCGGCGUCUGCAGCCACGCGCAGAAAGGCCUGUAAGGAAAAAAAACACAAUAAAGGGUCUCGAUGCUGUGACACAGCGAUGCCAGGCCACCCGUGACAGCCGGUGGACAGAGAGGGCGGGGAGGUCCCGCCGGGCCGGGGGACGCGAGGAACACCUCUGACGGCACAGGAUGGCAAAACAGAAGAGAAAAGAGAGCCAAGUGACAGAGAAAAAGAACAAAAAACUGAAGAAGGCGGCAGCGAGAGAGAUGCCACCGGCACCUGCGGCCCCGCCGGGCACUGAGGGGGCCCCACCCGAGAUAGUCCCGAGCGAGGCCGAGGGGAGAGCUCCCGGUCCUGUUGACACGAUCCAUUCAUCCUCUGGCUCUUUCUUGCUUUCUGGUGAAGAGAGAUGCCCGAGGCCACGUCUCUAAGGAACCCGGACCCUUCGAGUGACCCUCUGUAGGUCUGGAAACUUCCUGUGUGCACAGGUGACGGGCAGUCCCCGCGGCUCUUG